GCCGCCGUAACUCAGCCUGGUUAGAGUGCGAGACUCAUAAUCUCGAAGUCCGGGGCUCAAAUCCCCGCGGCGGCA
rnacentral:tRNA from 1 species